rnacentral:rRNA from 1 species
CUACGUGCCAGCAGCCGCGGUAAUACGUAUGUCGCAAGCGUUAUCCGGAAUUAUUGGGCAUAAAGGGCAUCUAGGCGGCCAGAUAAGUCUGGGGUGAAAACUUGCGGCUCAACCGCAAGCCUGCCCUGGAAACUAUGUGGCUAGAGUACUGGAGAGGUGGACGGAACUGCACGAGUAGAGGUGAAAUUCGUAGAUAUGUGCAGGAAUGCCGAUGAUGAAGAUAGUUCACUGGACGGUAACUGACGCUGAAGUGCGAAAGCUAGGGGAGCAAACAGGAUUAGAUACCCUGGUAGUCCUAGCUGUAAACGAUGAUUACUGGGUGUGGGCAUGAAGAGUGUCCGUGCCGAAGCUAAUGCGAUAAGUAAUCCGCCUGGGGAGUACGGCCGCAAGGCUGAAACUCAAAGGAAUUGACGGGGACCCGCACAAGCGGUGGAGCAUGUGGUUUAAUUCGACGCAACGCGAGGAACCUUACCAGAUCUUGACAUUGAUGGACAGAACUAGAGAUAG